GAUGAACGCUGGCGGCGUGCCUAAUACAUGCAAGUCGAGCGAACAGACGAGGAGCUUGCUCCUCUGACGUUAGCGGCGGACGGGUGAGUAACACGUGGAUAACCUACCUAUAAGACUGGGAUAACUUCGGGAAACCGGAGCUAAUACCGGAUAAUAUAUUGAACCGCAUGGUUCAAUAGUGAAAGACGGUUUUGCUGUCACUUAUAGAUGGAUCCGCGCCGCAUUAGCUAGUUGGUAAGGUAACGGCUUACCAAGGCAACGAUGCGUAGCCGACCUGAGAGGGUGAUCGGCCCCACUGGAACUGAGACACGGUCCAGACUCCUACGGGAGGCAGCAGUAGGGGAUCUUCCGCAAUGGGCGAAAGCCUGACGGAGCAACGCCGCGUGAGUGAUGAAGGUCUUCGGAUCGUAAAGCUCUGUUAUUAGGGAAGAACAAAUGUGUAAGUAACUAUGCACGUCUUGACGGUACCUAAUCAGAAAGCCACGGCUAACUACGUG
rnacentral:rRNA from 1 species